AGAGUUUGUUCCUGGCUCAGGAUGAACGCUAGCGGCGUGCUUAACACAUGCAAGUCGAACGAAGCACCUUAUUCUGAUUUCUUCGGAAUGAAAAAUUUGGUGACUGAGUGGCGGACGGGUGAGUAACGCGUGGGUAACCUGCCUCAUACAGGGGGAUAACAGUUAGAAAUGACUGCUAAUACCGCAUAAGACCACAGCACCGCAUGGUGCAGGGGUAAAAACUCCGGUGGUAUGAGAUGGACCCGCGUCUGAUUAGGUAGUUGGUGGGGUAACGGCCUACCAAGCCGGCGAUCAGUAGCCGACCUGAGAGGGUGACCGGCCACAUUGGGACUGAGACACGGCCCAAACUCCUACGGGAGGCAGCAGUGGGGAAUAUUGCACAAUGGGGGAAACCCUGAUGCAGCGACGCCGCGUGGAGGAAGAAGGUCUUCGGAUUGUAAACUCCUGUUGUUGAGGAAGAUAAUGACGGUACUCAACAAGGAAGCCCCGGCUAACUACGUGCCAGCAGCCGCGGUAAUACGUAGGGGGCGAGCGUUGUCCGGAAUUACUGGGCGUAAAGGGUGCGUAGGCGGUUGCUUAAGUUGGAUGUGAAAUACCCGGGCUUAACUUGGGGGGUGCAUUCAAAACUGGGCGACUAGAGUUCAGGAGAGGGAAGCGGAAUUCCGAGUGUAGCGGUGAAAUGCGUAGAUAUUCGGAGGAACACCAGUGGCGAAGGCGGCCUGCUGGGCUUUAACUGACGCUGAGGCUCGAAAGUGUGGGGAGCAAACAGGAUUAGAUACCCUGGUAGUCCACACUGUAAACGAUGAUUGCUAGGUGUGGGGGGUCUGACCCCUUCCGUGCCGGAGUUAACGCAAUAAGCAAUCCACCUGGGGAGUACGGCCGCAAGGUUGAAACUCAAAGGAAUUGACGGGGGCCCGCACAAGCAGUGGAUUAUGUGGUUUAAUUCGACGCAACGCGAAGAACCUUACCAGGUCUUGACAUCCAACGAAUCCUUAAGAGAUUAGGGAGUGCCUUUCGGGGAACGUUGAGACAGGUGGUGCAUGGUUGUCGUCAGCUCGUGUCGUGAGAUGUUGGGUUAAGUCCCGCAACGAGCGCAACCUCUGCCAUUAGUUGCUACGCAAGAGCACUCUAAUGGGACCGCUACCGACAAGGUGGAGGAAGGUGGGGACGACGUCAAAUCAUCAUGCCCCUUAUGACCUGGGCUACACACGUAAUACAAUGGCCGUUAACAACGGGAGGCAAAACCGCGAGGUGGAGCAAAACCCUAAAAACGGUCCCAGUUCGGAUCGCAGGCUGCAACCCGCCUGCGUGAAGUUGGAAUUGCUAGUAAUCGCGGAUCAGCAUGCCGCGGUGAAUACAAACCCGGGCCUUGCACUCACCGCCCGUCA
rnacentral:rRNA from 1 species